ACGAACGCUGGCGGCGUGCUUAACACAUGCAAGUCGAACGGAAAGGCCCUGCUUUUGUGGGGUGCUCGAGUGGCGAACGGGUGAGUAACACGUGAGUAACCUGCCCUUGACUUUGGGAUAACUUCAGGAAACUGGGGCUAAUACCGGAUAGGAGCUCCUGCUGCAUGGUGGGGGUUGGAAAGUUUCGGCGGUUGGGGAUGGACUCGCGGCUUAUCAGCUUGUUGGUGGGGUAGUGGCUUACCAAGGCUUUGACGGGUAGCCGGCCUGAGAGGGUGACCGGCCACAUUGGGACUGAGAUACGACCCAGACUCCUACUGGAGGCAGCAGUGCAGAAUAUUACACAAUGGGCGGAAGCCUGAUGCAGCCACGCCGCGUGCGGGAUGACGGCCUUCGGGUUGUAAACCGCUUUCGCCUGUGACGAAGCGUGAGUGACGGUAAUGGGUAAAGAAGCACCGGCUAACUACGUG
rnacentral:rRNA from 1 species